UUUUGCAAAAUAUCAGGCACUUAAUGCUUAUGGAUUAAGGAUAGAAAGUAACAUACUAUUGAAACUUUUGUGCUAUUGAUUUAUUGAAUCAUAUAUUCGUUUCAAUAAAUGAGUCCCUUGUUACUAAGCUCCUUUUUUCUAAAUAUGAAAGAUUCCCAAUAGGAAAGAUGAAGAUAAAAUGGCCAACUCAACAUACCUAAUAUACAAAUUGCUCUAGGCUAGGUUCCUUGAGAAAGUCAAAUGAAGAGUAUCCCUCUUUCCUGCCUGGAUCCUGGACCAAAUGAGAGGCAAGAUAAAAGGCCAGCAGAUGGAGAGUCAACAUAUGUCCUUUACUACUGAUUAAAGGUUAAGAAGAAGGAUAUAAUGGAAAAAUCAAAAUUGUUUUGCUUACUGGAUCCACAGAAAUUGACUGAUUUACCAACGGGACAGCUUUAGACUGGAUCAACCACUCUUACAAAAAAACCUGCCCCCUGAAAAAAAUAAAAAGGAAAUAAUGCGGUAUCUGUAAGCACUCCUAGAAGGUAGGAAAUAGGAAUGGUUUGCCCCUAUAGCACUCCAAAUUAAUGUACACAAGUCUAAAUUAUAAUGAGUAAGAUACACAAAUACUGAAAUGAAAAUAUCAAGGAUUAUUUUUAAAAAUGAAAAUGUUUUACUAAAUUUUUAAAAAUGAAAAAGUUUUACUAACUUUUGUCUCAAAGAUUUAAUUUCACUCAUUAAUGAUGUCAUUGAUUUCAGCCAGUGAUUAAUAUCUCAUUACAGUUUUUAUUUCUUAAUGCCAACAAGGCUUUGGUUAUAAUUCUCCUACAUUAAUUUAGUGGAAGCUAUCCAGUGGCAAUCUAUUACAUUUUCCCAGUUAAAUUAGCAUGAUGGAAUUUUAAUGGAUCUUUUAAUAAACAUGAUGAUGAUCAAGAAUAUUGUGAAAUCAAAAUCACUCUCAAUGACAUUUUUGACUUUGUGUAGUAACAAUCCUCAGUCACUGAUUCUGGUCCUCUGAGUAAUAACUCAAAAUGUAUUAUUAAUAUCUUUCUCUACUGUUAGCAGUGACAAAGUGAACAUGGACUAGGCCAGAUUAAAAAAAAAUAAGCUGUUUAAUUAGCUAAUCUAAAGUUUUCAUUUCCUGCGAUUGUGGUUCUCCAACUUUGUGAUCUUUCCCAAUAAAAUGUAAACAGAAGAGAUGAGAUUUGACUUGGAAUUGAAAGAGUAAUAGACCACCUAUUUGCAUUUAUAAACUUUAUGUCUUAGGGUUUUGUGUUCAGACCAUUCACAAAGGCAAAUCUUGAGUUUAAUUUAACCCAAAUAUAAAACGACAUUUCCUCUGGAAACAAAUUCUUAAGAUAUUCAUGUUCAGUGGGGUGGCUGUUUUUCUUUGCUCUGUGAAAACGCACAUCUAGACUUGAAUUAGCGAAGCAGGAGAAGCUCAAUAACCGAACCUGGUUUGUGUCUUGAGAGAAGGCUGCUAAGCUGCAUGCUGAGAUUCUCCUAGGACAUAUUUGAAAGAAAUUUCUGCAGGUGGUUGAGAGUUGUCCUUUAUGCAGCUGUGGUAAUGGAAUGAAAAUUGCUUACUCUGGGAACAUUGACUGUAUCAUCCUUAAAUUAUCUGUGCAAUGCUUAAAUAGUUUACAUUGCUGUAGGGAUAGGAAGGCUCAGUUAUGUUGCCAUCCUGAGAUCAUCACUGCCUGUAAACACUGAGUAUUCAAUGCAAGCAAACCAAAUCAUACCAUAUUUUUAUUUUAAACUUUUAUUACAUUUUUAUUUCUAUAUAAUAUAUUGUGACUAAGAAAAGACGAAUAUACAUUUAAAGACAAACAGGGAUUUAGGAAAGCUUGUCCUAUAAUCUAUCAUUUAAAUACAAACUGUUAACAUUUUAGUUAAUAACCAUUUGAUACAUUUAUAUAAGAAGUAUAUAUAUAUUAAUUUUCUUUCAAACACUCAUGUAAUAAUGGAUCAUGUAGUACUAAUAUCUCAUGAAUGUUCUGGGAUGCUUGGCUGACUCAGAAGAACAUGCAACUCUUGAUUUUGGGGUUGUGAAUUCAAGCUCCAUGUUGGACCUAGAGCUUACUUAAAAAAAUAAAAAGAAUAUUCUAUAUUUUCUAAUUAAAUACAAUAUUACAGAAAAUCAGAAAAAAAAUGAAAAAAAUAUAAUAAAUUGGGAUUGCUAUAAAUCCUUGCUCUCACAACUACUGGAAAUAUAUUAAGAUAUAACUAUAUAUUUCAUUUUCCCGGCUGGUACUCUGAAUAAUUGGUAUAUUUAAAUAAUAUAUUAAGAACAUAUUCCAUGUCAAUAAAUGUAGAGAGCCAUCAACAGGAUAGUGAUCAAAAGCAUUGUCUCUCUAGAGUCAGAUUGCCUGGUUUUCUGAUCUAGGGCUGCCACUUACUUGUGAAACACAGGACAAAUUGCUUACCUCUACUAAACCUCAUCUCUAUAUUGGGAAAUGAAAGCACUACCUCCCUAAUACAGCCAUUAUAAAGCAACUAAUACAUAGGAUUUUACAAAACAGAAUAUAAAGUCUUACAAUUGUGUUUAUACUAUUACUGAGUAGUUUGUCAAGUGAGUAGAUAUACCAGAGACUAACCAAUUCUGUUUGGUGGAUUUUUAUAGCAUUUUCAAUUUUUCGCUAUUAAAAAGAAUGUAUAGUCCUUAUACAUUCAUCCUGAUACAUUUGUCAUAUUAUUUUCUUAGAAUGCAUUGUACUAAUGGGAAGUCAGAAAUUAUUAACUUGAAAGAAUUUUAGGAAAUACAGAAAUGUUUAAAAAUUAUUAUUGGAGUAUAAUUGGCACAUAAUGUUAUAUUAAUUUCCAGUGUAUAACAUAGUGAUUGGACAGUUCUACACAUGACACAGCAUUUACCACAAGAAGGGUAGUUACCAUCCAUCGCCAUACAAUGUUAUUACCAUAUUAUUGAUUACAUCCUUUAUGCUAUGCUUUUCAUUCCUGUGACAUAUUUAUCUUAUAACUGAAGUUUGUACCUCUUAAUCCUCUCCCUCCACCUAUUUUGCCCAUCUCUCCAUGUCCUUACCCUCUUGCAAACCACCAGUUUGUUCUCUGUAUUUAUAUCACUUUUAAACUCUGAAAACAUAAAGGAUAAGUAUUUAUGUGAAAUGUACAGUGAAGAAAUGAAAUAAAAUCUUAUCAGUGUUUUUAACAACAGAUUUUCUAAUGUAUAAAAAAAGGACUUUUUAAAGAACAUGUAAGAUCUUGCAAUAGAAAAUACUUUCAUAAUCAGUUUUAAUCAGAAAACUGCCCUAAUCCAUUGGAAUGAAAGCAAAAGAAGUGAACUCCUGCAGUGUUUUGUGUCUGAGAGCAAUGAAAUAUCUUCAGUACAAGCAUUAAGAGGCAUUUUGAAAGACUAUAGAAAAGUACAGAAUUGGUGUGCAUUAAAAAUGAAAAGGGAAAUUGGCAUAUGUGUGCUAGUUGCUCCAUCUUUUCCUGAAUCUCACCAAAUGCAAAAUACCCCAUCUCUGUAAUCCUGUAAAGCUGGAACCUGUAAAGCCAAAGGGUUUGUAAUUAUUUAAGGUAAAAAUAACUUUUGAAUAACCCAGAAGUGAAUGUUCUAAACUCUGACUUGUGUAUCAGAACCACUUAGCUAUAGGCAGAGCUUGCACAUGUGAUGCACUACAAUUUUUAGAGUGCAUAGAAAGUUUAAGAGACUUAGAGUGAUUAAGUGAUCAUAAGAGGAGGCUAAAGGAACAGGAUAAUAUUCAAAGAGAAGAACCUGUAGUUCCCCCUUUGAGGAUGAACUACAAACUAUUGUUUGUAGACAAACUAUUAAUUUGUCUAAUAUUGUGGACACCGAAGGAAUACCCUGUUAUUUCAUCGAGUGAGGUCAUUUGUACUAUGAUGUCCUGAAAAUGUGUCAGAUCUAUCUAGAAGAUCAAAGUAAUUAGAUUCAGCAUUACAUGUUUCAGUAAAUUUCUUAUAUAGAUGUGAAACUGUAUGUAGCUCCCUUAAAGAAAAAACUUCAGUGCGGCACCCCAUCCUCACUCAAUUAGAAUACAUAUUCCUAGAGUGUCCUAACCAUUCCCUUGAUCUCUCUUAACCAUACUACACAGGGUCAUCGAAAGUGAUAUUCUUGACACUUAAAAUAUAAUGCCAUUCUCUUGUCCCACUCUCUCCUUCUGGGCACAUGGGAUCAUGUUUUAUUUCUUGUUGAUUUUUUUUAUUGUGGUAAAAUAUAUAUAAUAUAUAACAUAAAACAUAUAUAAUAUAUAACUAAAAUUUACCAUCUUAACCAUUUUAAAGUGUAUAAUUCAGUGGCAUUUAGUACUUUCACAAUGCUGUUCAGUCAUCCCCACUACCUGGUUCCAGGACAAUUUCAUCACACACACACAAAAACCCACAACACUAUAUCCUUUAUUGUUAAAUCCAUAGAGACAUAAAACACGUUAUGUGGUCUUUUAUGUCUGGUUUCUUUCACUUAGCAUAAUGCCUUCAAGGUUUGUCCAUGUUGUAGCAUGUAUCAAUACUUCAGUACUUUUUAUGGAUAACCAGUAUUUCAUUCUCUGUCUACUACAUCUUGUUUAUCCACUUAUCAGUUGAUUGAGAGAUACUUGGGUUGUAUCCACACUUUGGCUAACGGGAAUAGUGAGGAUAUGAAUAUUUGUGUAGAAAUUUUUGUUUCAAUAUCUGCAUUCAACUAUUCUGAGUGUAUAUGUAGGAGUGGAAUUGCUGGGUCGUAUGGUAACUCUGUUACUUAUUGAGAAACUGCCAAACUGUUUUCCAUUGCAGCUGAACCAUUGGACAGUCCCACCAGAAGUAUAUGAAGGUUAAAAUUUCUGUACAUCUUUACCAACAUUUAUUUUGUUUUUUUUUUAUUAUUAUACCUAUCCUAGUGGGUGUGAC
rnacentral:lncRNA from 1 species